UACGUAGGGGGCUAGCGUUGUCCGGAAUCAUUGGGCGUAAAGCGCGUGUAGGCGGUCCGGUAAGUCCGCUGUGAAAGUCGGGGGCUCAACCCUCGGAUGCCGGUGGAUACUGUCGGGCUUGAGUACGGAAGAGGCGAGUGGAAUUCCUGGUGUAGCGGUGAAAUGCGCAGAUAUCAGGAGGAACACCGGUGGCGAAGGCGGCUUCCUGGACCGACACUGACGCUGAGGCGCGAAAGCUAGGGGAGCAAACGGG
rnacentral:rRNA from 1 species